UGUGCUGUUUUACGCAUGCAGGUGUAAUUCGGAAGUUUUGUUUACUGAGCUGAAUGAGUUGUCUCUUUGUUGAAUAGUUAUCGAAGUCCAUUAGCAAAACUAACAGACUGUAUUGUGAGUUUAUUGUGAGCGCGCACGGCCUCCAGUUACCAUCAAUCGCCAAGCGGGCCGUGAGCACGUUGAUUCUCCCACCCAUGCAAUACCAGAAAAAAUUUAACACAAACUUCCAAAGAAAUAUAGUUCCUAAAAGAUGCGUAGAAUUUUGGAGUUCAGAGAUUUAUUAGAUAAAUUAGAGACGAUAAAAUAUAACAAAAGUUUCGGUUUUAAUUUUGUAUUGUGAUUAUUGUCUUGACUAGAAUUAGGUGUGCGUAAUCCGAUAUGCGAGUAGCCAUAGUGCGGACAUUUAGGAAUCUGAAGCAUUAAAAUAUAUUUGAACAUAAUAAUAUUAUGUUUUCUUGAACACAAAAAUUCUGACAGAAAAUACCUAUAAAAUACUAUAAAAAAGUAAGAAUAGUUCCCCUGUUACUUCUAAAACUACACCGAAUACACUAUUAAUGUAUAAAAUUAUACUAAAAAUAUAAUUUACUAUAUUGA